GGGCAUGUGGUGUAACGGUGAACACAAGAUCCUGAUAAGAUCUAGACCGCAGUUCAACUCUGCGCUUGCCUAC
rnacentral:tRNA from 2 species